GACGAACGCUGGCGGCGUGCCUAAUACAUGCAAGUAGAACGCACAGUUUAUACCGUAGCUUGCUACACCAUAGACUGUGAGUUGCGAACGUGAGAGUAACGCGUAGGUAACCUGCCUGGUAGUGGGUGAUAAAUAUUGGAAACGAUAGCUAAUACCGCAUAAUAUUAAUUAUUGCAUGAUAAUUAAUUGACAGGUGCAAUUGCACCACAACCAGAUGGACCUGCGUUGUAUUCUCUAGUAUGUGAGGUAACGGCUCACCUAGGCGACGAUACAUAGCCGACCUGGGAGGGUGAUCGGACACAAUGGGACUGGGACACGGCCCGAGCCACUAAGGGAGGGAGGAGUAGGGGAUCUUCGGCAAAGGACGAAAGUCUGACCGAGCAACGCCGCGUGAGUGAAGAAGGUUUUCGGAUCGUAAAGAUCUGUUGUAAGAGGAGAACGGGUGUGAGAGUGGAAUGUUCACAAUGUGACGGUAGCUUACCAGAAGGGGACGGCUAGCUACGUG
rnacentral:rRNA from 1 species